UGCCAGCAGCCGCGGUAACACGUAAGGAGCGAGCGUUGUUCGGAAUUAUUGGGCGUAAAGGGCAUGUAGGCGGUUUUGUAAGUCUGAUGUGAAAUCGCGCAGCUUAACUGCAUUGUUGCGUUGGAAACUGCAGAACUUGAAUCCGGGAGGGGUGUGUGGAAUUCCUAGUGUAGGGGUGAAAUCUGUUGAUAUUAGGAAGAACACCAGAGGCGAAGGCGACACACUGGCUCUGGAUUGACGCUAAGGUGCGAAAGCGUAGGUAGCGAACAGGAUUAGAUA
rnacentral:rRNA from 1 species